AGUGAUGAAGAUCACGAAGAAAUGACAGGCAUGAGUUCAGAAAAAGGUUAUAGUGAAAUGAUAAAAAAAAGUGCUGAGGAUGAGAAGAACAUUUUUUCCCAAAAUAUUGAGUAAGAUAUCCAUGGGAAUCAAAAACAACUACCAGCUCUGACAGAAAAAAACACAUUCUAACUCCUGUAUCAUGGAAUCCUGCCUGAAUUUCAGAGUUUCAUCACGCUGUUCUAGACAGAGAAACCUCACAUCUGUAAACUCCUUACAAGCAUGUUUGAGUUGUGUAAGAGCUUUUUUCAGUCUGUGUAUGAAAACUGAAAUUAUCCCAGAUUGUGGUGUGAAAGAUCUACUGAAACUAAAUUCCAACAAAGAUUCAAAUCUACUUCCCAGGAUAAAGAUGUGUGUUGGACUGUUCUAUACUUGUCAACUUGAAAGGCUGCAUCAGGAAAGUACUUAUUGGCUACCAGAUUUCUUUCAAAAACUAGAAGGUGCAUAAAAAUCUGCACGUUCUUACCUCAUGUCCAAACUACCUCUUAACAAAAGCAUCCUAACUUCUCUUUCAGCCCUGUAUCCAGCCCUUCACAGGAAGAGUUAAGCAGCAGAUGCCUUGAUAGCAAUAGGCAAAUACAUGCUAGACAUUAUCCAGGGAGCAUCUAGACAAUUGGCAAUGGAAUGUAGAAAAUAUUUUGUUGACUCCACCUUGAAUCAAGAAAACUUGAUAUACAAGAUAUACACAUUGACAGCAAUUGGUGGGCACACAUCAUAAAGCUCCCAAAGUAAAUCACUAUUUCCAAGCUGAUUAAGGCAUUGGUAACAUUUCUCUGGACCUCACAUUGAAGGAACAUUCAAUGUUGUGAACGAUGGCCAUGAAAGUGAUUGAACAAACAUGGGAGUGGACAUGUAUUAAAUCAUGAUUAGAGUCAAGCUAACAAUGAAAGCUAAUAAACCAGUACCACUGACAUGAGGGGCACAGCUAUACAGAGAAUAAAGUGACACAAAGCUCAUUCCAAGUAUCUUGACAGCCUGAAGAACUAAGUGAAAGUAGCACAGGUGAAGAGAACCAAUGACUUGAAAAAAGCAAUGGCAAAGAGGAACCAGAGGAAGGAGAAGAUGGAAAAGCUGUUAGUAUUAAUGAGGCAAAGAAAAAAAAGGAAAAAAAGAAAGCAUGAGAGAUAGGUUUUAUACCACAAAGAUCAGACCAAAAUAUUCAAGAGCAAAGACAGGAGUUCCAGUAAGAUUCAUAAAGUGUCAGAAAGAGUUGGAUUAUCAUCCAACAAGAGCUGAUAAACAACACAUUUUUCUGAACACCAAGUAUUUCUGCAGAGUAUUUUAGGUACAAACAACAACAGUGUACAGUAGGAGACUGUUUAUGACAAAACUUUUCAGAUGCUGAAUAGAAAGUGAAUUUAUCUGCUUCAUUUAAUUGUUUCUAAUUCAACUGCUUUUUUUUAUUAUUACACUUGUACUGUAUAUGAAGCUGACAGAAAAUUUGAAUUACCAAUCUUAGUGUACUGGAAUGGAUUGAAAUGAUAUGCAUAAAUACAAAUAAUAUUAGAAAUUUUUUGAAGGGAACUAAUAGAAAAUUAAUUUAUACAAUUCAUUUUCUUGCAGCUAUUAAUGAUUGUGCAAUUUGUAUUUUGAUGCUGCAUUCAUUUUAAAUACUUACUUUGAAAAAGGGGAAGAUAUGUUGAACUUAUUGUCUAGAACACUACUUAUUCGUACUAUACAUUAUUUUGAUGAAGUUAAUCGUUUUUUAUUCAGAAUAAAAUAAAGAUUAACUUUGGAACACAGA
rnacentral:lncRNA from 1 species